rnacentral:rRNA from 1 species
UACGAAGGGGGCUAGCGUUGCUCGGAAUGACUGGGCGUAAAGGGCGCGUAGGCGGCACACACAGUCAGGCGUGAAAUUCCCGGGCUUAACCUGGGGACUGCGCUUGAUACAUGUGAGCUAGAGGAUGGAAGAGGCUCGUGGAAUUCCCAGUGUAGAGGUGAAAUUCGUAGAUAUUGGGAAGAACACCGGUGGCGAAGGCGGCGAGCUGGUCCAUUACUGACGCUGAGGCG